AGUCACGUUAUGUCACCCUCGACUACGUAUACGUCGGGUAACGUUAGUUCUUAGAUAACUGUCGGAAUUAUGCGUUCCCCCUUAUUACGUUCAAGCGAAAUAUAAGGAAAGCGGAAGUGUGAACAGUGCAGCAGAGCAAUUACACGUAGGCAGACAAAGGGAAUACUCGUCAACUUCAACUUGCAGUGAAUUAAAAGUCGUUACAUUAAAACCUUUCCGAUAUCGACAGUGGAUAUUUCGUGAUGGAUAUCAAAGGGAUAACCGCAGGACCAAAUCGUGAAUCCAUCACCGGAUGUUUGAUAGUCACCGAUGGAUAUUCAUACGAAUUAAUCUUCAUCCAUCAGAAGAUUUCCGGUUGGAUCUUCAGGCUCCUUGUUGCUUUCCAUCAAUAUAUGUGUGUGUAUAUAUAUAUAUAUACUAUUGCAAUCGCGAGUGAAAAUAUUAAAGAGCUACAUGUUUACACAGGAACAGACGUAUUUGUCACGAAGAGAUCGGUCAUUAGUGGAUUCACGAUGAUCAUUACGAAGCAUCCAAUCAUCUCUGAUACGGAAUGUCAACAGUAAUAAUUAUCGAUCAUUGUGCUACUGUGAUAUAGAUAUAGCUCUAUGUAGGUUAUAUAUAUAUACACACACACCGGUGAGAAUAAUUAAGUGCCGCUCGUUGCCAAGUGCUAUUGCGUAUUAAUUGAGCAUGUGAUUACCGUAUACCAUAUUAAGUUACGUUAUUGACUUACCCAACCGUUAAUUAUCCCACGUAAAUAAUAAAAUAUGAGAAAAACGUAGUUUCGAAUCCAAUUAAUAUACCAGCAGCACUGUUAGCUCUGUAUAACCUCGAAUAAAUUGAAGCGACGCGUUCGGCAGGUUACACGUGUAACAUUUCAUUCAAAAGCGGACAGAUUUUUCGAAUGAAAUCCUUUGCCCCCGAUGGCAGCUAUCUCCGCCUUUAUGCAUACGUAACCAUGUAUAAUACCAAGCGGCACCGACUCGAUAUUCAAAUGUAACGGAAUUAAAAUUUCAGCUAACAGGGAACCGCACUAAAUCCACUUAAGCAGAUUAAGUUACGUUGACAUAUGCUGGUCGACUGGCCAUUUUAAGUUAGCUCGAUGCACGCGAAUUGUCUCUUUGUGUAUAUAGGUAUAUACGUAAUACUUGUGUUUCGUUUAGGUCCAGCGGCACGUUGACAAUGGCUGGAAAAGUUUUUCUCAGUAUCUUUUUUGUCGAUAGCAUCCUAACCUCUUCGUGGGUACGUCGCAACCCUCUUGGAAAAAAAAAAGAAAAAAAAGGAAAACUCAGACGGGUCACCCUUAGCCAGGAAGUUCCUCGGGAAAAAAAACUCGACCAAAGGAAAGAGUAAAAUGACGACCGUAAAACAUGACAGAGAAUCGUCUGACGUAUUGCUACACACGUAUACCCAAAAAAACCGGACAGCACAGCAUCCAAAUUAGUAUCCCAACAGUAACAAUGUGAGAACAACCAAAAGAGAGAUUCGCAAGCUGAGUGAAUGACAGAAAUGGAAUGCUGGUAAAUAAAUAGAAGAGCAAUUGGGUCAUCUUAUUAUAGCGACUGGGAUUUCCACGUCGGUGAGGAUUCAGGGGUAUUGGGGUAGGUCGAUGUAAUCGGAAUAUCUGUAGUGGUGCACGUGCAUACUACAUGCACGCGUGCAUAUAGUCACCCGUAGAAUCUCGAUAUUUGUAUUUCACCAUCUACGUGUUUCUCUACGCCUAUGCAGCGGUAUAUAUAGAUAUAUAUACACACUUAUAUAUAUAUACAUAUGUGCAUUCACUUGUGUACCUAAGCAUUUGGGAGAAUGGAAUGGUUGCCUCCUGGUGGAACGGGGCAGUGUACCUAGUGCAACGGAGAACAACAUACAUGCCAGGGUUAUAUGCAUAUAGCAAGGAUUGCGCACAUAGUCGAGGAACGGCUGGUGGACGGGAAAUAAAAUUACAGAAAAAAAAUUAAAAAAAAAACCAUAUUAAAAGGCGAAUACGAGAGAACGAUCGCUAUCCAAUAGUAAAUCUCACGCGAUACAGUAAUGCAACGACUUUCAGUCACCAGCAUGUUUAAUCGACCUUCAUGAUGCGCACGGAGGGCGAGUCACCCUGGUAUCAAUUAUGCAACUACACCAGCGGGGACGAAGCGUUUUGUUCCCAUUCUACAAUUACAACGAAACGAAUUUAAAGAAUAAAACGCGGUAAACGUCAUUCAUGUUAAAAAUUCAGAUUAAACGUUUGAUUAAUCAGAGCGAUCGACCCUCUAUGUCGAUAGCACGUCUACAACAAAAUUACUAAACAAAUUCAAUAAUCUGUUCAAGUACUAUUUUAUCAAGUACAUACUUUAUACGCAAUACUUGACAAAAAUACAAUUUGAGCAUUAAAAAAA